GACGAACGCUGGCGGCGUGCUUAACACAUGCAAGUCGAACGGUAAGGCCCUCCGGGGUACACGAGUGGCGAACGGGUGAGUAACACGUGGGUGAUCUGCCCUGCACUUCGGGAUAAGCCUGGGAAACUGGGUCUAAUACCGGAUAGGACAACUGCCUGCAUGGGUGGUGGUGGAAAGCUUUUGCGGUGUGGGAUGGGCCCGCGGCCUAUCAGCUUGUUGGUGGGGUGAUGGCCUACCAAGGCGACGACGGGUAGCCGGCCUGAGAGGGUGACCGGCCACACUGGGACUGAGAUACGGCCCAGACUCCUACGGGAGGCAGCAGUGGGGAAUAUUGCACAAUGGGCGCAAGCCUGAUGCAGCGACGCCGCGUGAGGGAUGACGGCCUCCGGGUUGUAAACCUCUUUCAGCACCGACGAAGCGCAAGUGACGGUAGGUGCAGAAGAAGGACCGGCCAACUACGUGCCAGCAGCCGCAGUAA
rnacentral:rRNA from 1 species